rnacentral:rRNA from 1 species
GGCUCAGAAUCAACGCUGGCGGCGUGCCUAACACAUGCAAGUCGAACGCGAAAGUGGAGCAAUCCAUGAGUAGAGUGGCAAACGGGUGAGUAACACGUGGGUGACCUGCCUUAGAGUGGGGGAUAACGUCCCGAAAGGGACGCUAAUACCGCAUAACAUGCUGCCUUUUAAGAGGCGGACAUCAAAGCCGGGGACCGCAAGGCCUGGCGCUUAAAGAGGGGCCCGCGCCUGAUUAGCUAGUUGGUGGGGUAAUGGCUCACCAAGGCAACGAUCAGUAUCCGGCCUGAGAGGGCGGACGGACACACUGGGACUGAGACACGGCCCAGACUCCUACGGGAGGCAGCAGUGGGGAAUUGUUCGCAAUGGGCGCAAGCCUGACGACGCAACGCCGCGUGGAGGAUGAAGAUCUUCGGGUUGUAAACUCCUUUCGAUCGAGACGAAUGGCCCUUGGGCUAACAUCCCGAGGGAGUGACGGUACCGAGAGAAGAAGCCCCGGCUAACUCCGUG